AUGUCCCACCACACUGACCCGUCGCGCCGGCCGCAGUCCGGCCACAAGGUGGUGAUCGAGUCGCCGGCUAUGGAGCACCAGAUCUUCCUGAUUCGUCGCCACGUCGUGCUGCUGGUCUCCACGGAGGAGCGCCACGCCGCCAGCCCCAUGUCGGUAGGGAGUGCCUUCGACGCGCAGCUACGCAGGCCGGCGCACCUCCUGCGGGUCACGUGCCACGACCCGGAAGAUUUCCUGGUCCAUUUCGAGCUGCCGGCGCACCGGGACAACGCCGUGCACCUGGGCUCCAUCAACGUCGAUGGCGUCAUCUUCGAUAUCAAGCCGUGGCACGAGGACGACCACGCCGUGCACUAG
rnacentral:rRNA from 1 species